rnacentral:rRNA from 1 species
CCCUUAGACGUUCUGGGCCGCACGCGCGCUACACUGACGAAGGCAACGAGCUUUCCUUUACCGAAAGGUACGGGUAAUCUCUUGAAAUUUGCUCGUGAUGGGGAUCGACGGUUGCAAUUUUCCGUCGUGAACGAGGAAUACCUUGUAGGCGCAUGUCAUCAUCAUGCGCCGAAUACGUCCCUGCCCUUUGUACACACCGCCCGUCGCUCCUACCGAUUGAAUGGUCCGGUGAAAUCUCGGGAUUGUGGCCAGUUCACUUUAUUGGGAGUUGGCUGCGAGAACUUGCUUAAACCUUAUCAUUUAGAGGAAGGUGAAGUCGUAACA